rnacentral:rRNA from 1 species
AUGCUCAUCAGGAAGUUCUGGUGGGAAAGCAAAGAAGAAAAACGCAAGCCAAAUUGGGUCUCGUGGAAGGAAAUGACCCAACCGAAAAGCGGGAGGGGUUUCAAAGACUUUAAAUUGUUCAAUCUUGCUUUGUUAGCUAGACAAGCAUGGCACAUAUUACAUAGUCCAGACUCACUUUCAGCACGAAUUUUAAAGGGGGUCUACUUCCCAACAACACCCUUCCUAGAUGCAACAGUGGGUAGCCACCCAAGCCAAGUCUGGAGAGCUAUUAUGGAGGGAAGAGAACUGAUGAAACAAGGACUUAUAAAAAGUAUUGGUAAUGGUACUUCCACCAAUAUAUGGACGGAGAGUUGGAUCCCACAUAAUGAGAUGAUGAGGCCUUAUGGAUGUAAAUGUGAUAACCCUCCAACACAUGUGUCACAGCUCAUUGACCAGACUACGGCAACAUGGGUUAUAUCGUUGCUGGAGCAAACCUUCCUGCCAAUAGACAUACUCUCCCCGUUUCAAAAUAGAUGA